CAGCUUCUCAGAUAGGCAAGUCAUUCUUCUUGCAUAGAGAAACCUGGAGGCAUCAGAGGUCGGGUGGUGCUCAGGUUACAGUACUUUGGCGCAGGUACGGGAGAGGUGGUCCCUCUUCUGUUUGGAAAUGUGAAGCGCGUGUGUGUGUGCACGUGAACGUGGUGGACAAAGGCUACUUCCUCAUACUAUACAUGAAAGGGCCAUAGGAAGAUAAUCAAAAAGGAAAAGAAAGGAAAGAGAUCUUCAUGUAAACAGAGUCCCUCUUAUUGGCUGAAGUGAAGAGUCAUUCUGAGGAGGAUCUGAAAAUGUAGAGGUGAGACGCUAAUGGCAGAGUGGCCUCAGCUUUCACCAGGUUUUGAAAACAUCUGUGAGGGAGGCACCAAAUUCACUGUCCUGCAGCUUUGACUUCCCAAUCCUCGUUGCCUCGUGCUGCCAGCCUGUAUGCUGGUAGAAGUGUGUUCCUGGGAACAUCCUGGCAUCUUGUGUUAGGACUACACUGGUGCAUGGGACAGAUCACGCUCAAGAAGGUCGAUGUAAUUUGAAAAACAGAUGGGCUCUGCUUUGUGAAAACUCCAAGCAUAUGAAGUCUAACUUGAAUAAAAGGCAUCUCAAGAUGAAGGUUUCCUAUUUGUGAUUAUGAAAAAAAUGUCAAGAACAAGUCCCUUGGUGUUCUUAGACCAAAGUCAGAACAACAGACCUAGUAUUUGUCUGGGGCUGGCUGUGCACCCAGAAGGCCAUUCGUUCCAUGAAGAACAUGACAGAGGUGCUGAGGUUUCUGUAGUGGAUAAAACACAAAAAUACCAGCCCUCAUGGUGAAAAUGGAAUGACAAUAAACAAGAUAAAUUAGAUCUAUGCAACAAAACCAAGCCUUUGUGCACAUCUGUGGUUGUGACCAGUUGGAGAGACAUUAGGAGAUGAGAUACUAUGUUCACUCCUCACAGCUGUACCAGGGACCUGAGAUAUUCCGUCACUAUUCUAUGAGAUUUUGGAGAUCCCACCAGUGGUUUUCCGGUGCCAGGGUAUGAGAAGAUAGUCUCCAUGUCCAAACUCACAAUUUCAGAACAAAUUUCAUCAAGAUAAAGGCCUGGGCUGGUGAAUGGUUCCUGCUUUCACUAUUCCAGAUGUCCAGCUCUGUACCUUGCUGCUCUCCUUAAAGCCUGCCUCCCUCUAGGGAGCUAUGGUGCAUUACUCACGAGUGACAGAACCAACGAGCUUCAUCUCCCAAGAGGCUGGUGCAUCUGUUUAAAGGAGCAGGCACUAGGCAGAGCAGCCCCCACCCCACCCUCCAUGGCAGAGUGCAGUGGGGGAAGGGAUGGGAUUUCACCAUGUUGUCCAAGCUGGUUUUGAACUCCUGGGGUCAAGAAAUCCACCUGCUUCGGCCUCCCACAGUGCUGGGAUUACAGGUGUGAGCCCCUGCACCCAGCCUAAUUAAGUUUUGAAUAUCUUAUCCCUAUCAAUGACUUGUCUUUUCAUUCCUCUAACGUUCUUAAUUUUGAUCAAGUCCAAUUUAUCUUUUCUCUCCUUUAUAGAUUGUGCUUUUGGUGUUACAUCUAAGAAAUCUUUGCUUUUGAUUAUUUUAAAAAUUGAUUUUCUCAUCAAGUAAAAGAAAAUGUACUUUCAAGUUCCUUUAAGUAUAUCCACGUUGCCUAGGCAACCAAGUUAUUUAUCAAUAGGUGAUCAUUUGUAAUGAUUUGUUAAUAAAGG
rnacentral:lncRNA from 10 species